GUCAAAUUCAGCAUCCGUGACUAAAACAUUUACAUUUGUUUAGCAACCUAGUCAUAAUUAGAGAGUGUCAUUCAGAAUGAGAUGGUGUCAUACAGAAGUCGAAGAUCACUCAGUACAUAUGUAUCGGGAACAGACAAAAUUCCCAGCCUGUGGAUAUGGGUCAGGAAGAAGAAAAAUAAACUGUAUAAAAACCCAAGUUUGGACUGUGGCCAUGCCAUUAUCCCUGGAGAGAAUUCCGUCUUGUCUGUAAAAUGAUUAUAAUGGAAGCUCAUUGCAUCACCCUUGUAUGCUACUGGAACAACUCGUCUGUUUAGCUGACGAGGAUGUCCCAUCAGAGUUUGAACCCAGUACACAAAAGGUCCGUCCACUGCAGCGGCGACAUGAACAA